rnacentral:misc_RNA from 1 species
AAAUGCGAUAAGUAAUGUGAAUUGCAGAAUUCAGUGAAUCAUCGAAUCUUUGAACGCACCUUGCGCUCCUUGGUAUUCCUUGGAGCAUGCCUGUUUGAGUAUCAUGAAAUCUUCAAAGUAAAUCUUUUGUUAACUCAAUUGGUUUCUACUUUGGUAUUGGAGGUCUUUGCAGCUUCACACCUGCUCCUCUUUGUUCAUUAGCUGGAUCUCAGUGUUAUGCUUGGUUCCACUCGGCGUGAUAAGUUAUCUAUCGCUGAGGUCACUGUAAAAGGUGGCCAAGGUAAAUGCAGAUGAACCGCUUCUAAUAGUCCAUUGACUUGGACAAUACUUUUAUGAUCUGAUCUCAAAUCAGGUAGGACUACCCGCUGAACUUAAGC